AAACAAAGGACAAAAAUACCUAACAUUUAUGGUAGAUGGAUCUGCCUUAGUCUGACACCCUAAAUUAAGAAAAAAAUAAUCACUAGAUAGAAGAUUCUGUGUUAAAAUGAACAAACGUAAAACAAAACAAUGUAUCAAUAGAAAUACCAGGUUUAACAUGCACAAAGACAUGAAAACCAAGGAUGCCAGAUACUGAAUUUCUAUGGCACUGUCUUUUGAACACACCAGCAGGAAUAACUGUUGAGUGCAGAUACCAUACAGUGCA